ensembl:lincRNA
UUAGUAAACUCUUCAUUCAUCCUGGUGUUCUUGAAAAUAUUCCUCAAACAUAGAAGAAGAUUCAUUUUCAUAUUCCUUUGGUUAUUUAAAUGUUGAAUCUUCUCCACAUUGAAUGGCUAAAUCAAUAUGCUAUAAUACAAUGUUCAUACUUUCUUCAUCUGACUGAUCAUAAGGUAAGAAGAGAACUAUGCUGCAGUCAUCAGCCCACAUACUUUAGUUACUUUUUUGAAUUUUUUGCUUCUUAAGCCACUUGUAGAAUCAUCAAAUAAGGAAUCCAUGUCUAGAUCUAGAAACUUUCAGUUUCCUUUUUAGCUUUUUUACUCUGCAGCUACAUUUUGAUCACGAUGUUAACUUGCGGAAUUUCUAGAGAGAGCAUGGCACUCAGGACUGCCAAGAUGCCAGAAAUACACUUGAGUGACUCCACCAUGAACUGAGGAUCAACAAGAAAAACUCCAUAGACUCGGAAACUCCACUGCUCGAGCUGCAGGACCAGCUGCUUCAUCACAGUCAGUCAGUCUCUUUCAAAAUAUGGGAACAGCAAGUUAAAAUAAACUGUCUUAUUGGCAGAACAGAGUGUGAUCAUGAGAUACCAUUCAGCUUUUAUGCUGAUUCAUCAGCUCACAGUGAAACGAGCUUGCAUGAGAGCAUCCCAGGACCACUGAACAUUCAGAGGGCUGGAGGCAGAGAAAAACUUCCCCUACUCAAGAAAAAGAAGCUAUUUUUGUCAAGUUAA